UGGAGGCCUGAGAAGGUGGAGCAGUCCCCUGUACUGCCCCCACUGGUUAUAUCCUCCUACAGCAACAAUGUACAUGUUUCUUCACUUCCCAUGUCUGUUGGGAAAUGACUUUCAUGUUUGCAUUGACAAUAU